AGUGAACGCUGGCGGUAGGCCUAACACAUGCAAGUCGAACGGCAGCACAGUAAGAGCUUGCUCUUACGGGUGGCGAGUGGCGGACGGGUGAGGAAUACAUCGGAAUCUACUUUUUCGUGGGGGAUAACGUAGGGAAACUUACGCUAAUACCGCAUACGACCUACGGGUGAAAGCAGGGGAUCUUCGGACCUUGCGCGAUUGAAUGAGCCGAUGUCGGAUUAGCUAGUUGGCGGGGUAAAGGCCCACCAAGGCGACGAUCCGUAGCUGGUCUGAGAGGAUGAGCAGCGACACUGGAACUGAGACACGGUACAGACUCCUACGGGAGGCAGCAGUGGGGAAUAUUGGACAAUGGGCGCAAGCCUGCUCCAGCCAUACCGCGUGGGUGAAGAAGGCCUUCGGGUUGUAAAGCCCUUUUGUUGGGAAAGAAAAGCAGCAGGUUAAUACCCCGCUGUUCUGACGGUACCCAAAGAAUAAGCACCGGCUAACUUCGUG
rnacentral:rRNA from 1 species